rnacentral:rRNA from 1 species
GACGAACGCUGGCGGCGUGCUUAACACAUGCAAGUCGAACGGAAAGGCCCUGCUUUUGUGGGGUGCUCGAGUGGCGAACGGGUGAGUAACACGUGAGUAACCUGCCCUUGACUUUGGGAUAACUUCAGGAAACUGGGGCUAAUACCGGAUAGGAGCUCCUGCUGCAUGGUGGGGGUUGGAAAGUUUCGGCGGUUGGGGAUGGACUCGCGGCUUAUCAGCUUGUUGGUGGGGUAGUGGCUUACCAAGGCUUUGACGGGUAGCCGGCCUGAGGGGGUGACCGGCCACAUUGGGACUGAGAUACGGCCCAGACUCCUACGGGAGGCAGCAGUAGGGAAUAUUGCACAAUGGGCGGAAGCCUGAUGCAGCAACGCCGCGUGCGGGAUGACGGCCUUCGGGUUGUAAACCGCUUUCGCCUGUGACGAAGCGUGAGUGACGGUAAUGGGUAAAGAAGCACCGGCUAACUACGUG